CAGCCCUCAAGUUCCGGCUUGGUGUUGGGGAUCGGCAGCCCGGCUUCGCGCCGUCGCCGUCCCCCAAAUGCAGUGGCGGUCACGCUGUAGCUCCCUAUGCGUAGUAGCACACCUCGCACUGGAAAGCAGCGCGGCCACGCCGUAAAACCCCCAACUUUUUGU
rnacentral:misc_RNA from 1 species